rnacentral:rRNA from 1 species
UACGUAGGCAGCAAGCGUUUGUUCGGAGUUACUGGGCGUAAAGGGUGUGUAGGCGGUUUUCUAAGUUUGGUGUGAAAUCUCCCGGCUUAACCGGGAGGGUGCGCCGAAAACUGGGAGACUAGAGUGCGGGAUGGGAGAGUAGAAUUCCUGGUGUAGCGGUGAAAUGCGUAGAUAUCAGGAGGAAUACCGGUGGUGCAGACGGCUCUCUGGACCGCAACUGACGCUGAGACACGAAAAGCGUGGGUAGCAAACAGG